AUUGAACGCUGGCGGCAGGCUUAACACAUGCAAGUCGAGCGGGGUGAUGGUGCUUGCACUAUCACUUAGCGGCGGACGGGUGAGUAAUGCUUAGGAAUCUGCCUAUUAGUGGGGGACAACAUCUCGAAAGGGAUGCUAAUACCGCAUACGUCCUACGGGAGAAAGCAGGGGAUCACUUGUGACCUUGCGCUAAUAGAUGAGCCUAAGUCGGAUUAGCUAGUUGGGGGGGUAAAGGCCUACCAAGGCGACGAUCUGUAGCGGGUCUGAGAGGAUGAUCGGCGACACUGGGACUGAGACACGGCCCAGACUCCUACGGGAGGCAGCAGUGGGGAAUAUUGGACAAUGGGGGGAACCCUGAUCCAGCCAUGCCGCGUGUGUGAAGAAGGCCUUAUGGUUGUAAAGCACUUUAAGCGAGGAGGAGGCUCUUUUGGUUAAUACCCAAGAUGAGUGGACGUUACUCGCAGAAUAAGCACCGGCUAACUCUGUGCCAGCCGCCGCGGUAA
rnacentral:rRNA from 1 species